GUUGGAGGAAGCGGUUGGGAGAAGAAAGUACACCAGAGUCCUUCCUGGAGAAUUUUGGAACCAAAACCAAGAAAGAGAAAUUGUUCUUCAGAUGAUCGAGGCAGUAAUAGGAAAACCCUGGACAUUUCAACAGCCAUGUUUUACACCGUGUGAAACCCAGAAAAAGGAGCAUGCCUCAACGAAAGUACCAAAACCCAGUGGCAGCCCAGAGGAAGAAGUCCACAAGUAUCUGAUAGGAAAUCGAAUUUGUUCAGUGACAAUUGGUGGCCAAGGUAAGAACAGUGUCAUUGACAGCUGCACAACUCUGCAAGUUUCCUUUAAAAAAAAAAACUAAAAAUGCUCAGCUGAAGGAGAUUCACAUAUCCCAUCCAAACCAUCACUCUUCAAAGGGAGACAUUCUGAUAAGUGUUGGUAUUUUUUUUUAAUCAACUCCUGUUUGUCAUAGUAUUUUUUCUCCUUAAGGUGAAUGAUGAAAUUGUUUGCUGUAGCUUUGUCAAUUUAAAACUACCCAAUAGUUUCAAACAAGUGAUCCUCUUGCCCUCCUUCUGUUUCCUCUGACAUUUACGACAAUAGCUCACCCUGCUGUGAACUGUCCUUUGCCCAGAGUGCCAACAAAAAAGAAAAAUGGAUAUUUAGUAAGCAGACCAAUUUUUAUCUGAGGGGAAUAUGUGCAGGGAUUUCGAAGAUUCAACCAUGUCUAUUUUAUUAACAAGAACAUCCUUGAACUAAGAACUCAAUCUCUUCAUCCCAAAUAGAAUUCCACAUUAGAAGGAAGGGAGAGGGAAGAGAAAAUGAAAUAUCCAUGAUCUUCUUUCCUGCUUAACAACCCUCCUAAGAGUUAGAGGCUCUUUCAAUGGGAUUAUGAGGCUUCCAACAAAGUUGUAUAAAACAAAGAGACCAACUUCUUACAAGUUUCACCCUGUAGCAGGCCCUCAGAAGACUUGCAGUAUUUUUUUGUUCUUGUUUUAAUAAGGUAUUUGAACUCAUUCUCCAUACCUGUGUUUUUCUAAAGAAUCCACCUGGAAGAAUAAAAAGUGUUACAUGUUGCUGAGGAGUUGGGAA
rnacentral:lncRNA from 1 species